GGAGUCUAGUUCUUUUUUGAGGCAAACUCUCUCUAUUUUGAUACUAUUUUCUUGCUUUAUCUCAUUAUCAAUUUGGUGAGUUUUGAGACUAAGAACUUGUCUUGUCUUGCUAGCACUUAAAUUUUGACAUUUUGGUCAACCUCCAAACUGAUGGCUUGGCUCUUGAUAAUAGAAAUAUAAUCUCUUUCAUGCCAAUAUUUGUCGUCUUUGUAGUAUCAAUGAUAUUUAUAGGGCAUCAAUCUCUAUUGGCAUUGAUUGUUGUGCCAUAGUAUUAAAUAGUAGUAUAGGAUUUUGUACUAUAAAUUGUAUUCCAUAAUUUUUGAAAUCUAUAGCAUCAACUCUUUCUAUAAUCCGAAUUGCCUCUUCAAAUGUUUGUGGAUCCCUUA
rnacentral:lncRNA from 1 species